CUGAGAGAGAGAGAGAGACUUUCCCCCAUCCACCCCCACCCCUUUUUUAUUUUUUUAUUUUUUUUCUCCGAGGCUGCACUUUGGAAGAGAUCAUGUAGAAAGGACAGAAAGUGAGCAGGGAGCGGGGGCUUUUGUCUAUUGUUCUCCUUGUGCUACUUGAGAGAAACUGCAAUCCCAGACUUAACAGAACCUAAAAAUGGUAGGCUACUGCAGAGUUGUUGGACAUGGUCACCUUUUAUUUGGAAUUAGGACCUACAGUACUUAUCAUUUCCUUUUUUCUUUCAUUCCUUCUACAUCCAAAUUGCUUUAUAAGACAAAGAAGUUACCUGAAGAUUCUCUAAAAGGUGGUUGCUGAUUUACUCAGAGCAGUUUCUCUUCAAUAAACUUUUAGUUAAGAAACCA
rnacentral:lncRNA from 1 species